rnacentral:rRNA from 1 species
GACGAACGCUGGCGGCGUGCCUAAUACAUGCAAGUAGAACGCUGAAGGAGGAGCUUGCUUCUCUGGAUGAGUUGCGAACGGGUGAGUAACGCGUAGGUAACCUGCCUGGUAGCGGGGGAUAACUAUUGGAAACGAUAGCUAAUACCGCAUAAGAGUAGAUGUUGCAUGACAUUUGCUUAAAAGGUGCAAUUGCAUCACUACCAGAUGGACCUGCGUUGUAUUAGCUAGUUGGUGGGGUAACGGCUUACCAAGGCGACGAUACAUAGCCGACCUGAGAGGGGGAUCGGCCACACUGGGACGGAGACACGGCCCAGACUCCUACGGGAGGCAGCAGGAGGGAAUCUUCGGAAAUGGACGGAAGUCUGACCGAGCAACGCCGCGUGAGGGAAGAAGGUUUUCGGAUCGUAAAGCUCUGUUGUAAGAGAAGAACGAGGGUGAGAGUGGAAAGUUCACACUGUGACGGUAUCUUACCAGAAAGAGACGGCUAACUACGUG